rnacentral:rRNA from 1 species
ACGGAAGGCAGCAGUGGGGAAUAUUGCACAAUGGGGGAAACCCUGAUGCAGCGACGCCGCGUGAGUGAAGAAGUGAUUCGUCACGUAAAGCUCUAUCAGCAGGGAAGAAAAUGACGGUACCUGACUAAGAAGCCCCGGCUAACUACGUGCCAGCAGCCGCGGUAAUACGUAGGGGGCAAGCGUUAUCCGGAUUUACUGGGUGUAAAGGGAGCGUAGACGGCGGUGCAAGUCUGAAGUGAAAUGCCAGGGCUCAACUCUGGAAUUGCUUUGGAAACUGUGCUGCUAGAGUGCAGGAGAGGUAAGCGGAAUUCCUAGUGUAGCGGUGAAAUGCGUAGAUAUUAGGAGGAACACCAGUGGCGAAGGCGGCUUACUGGACUGUAACUGACGUUGAGGCUCGAAAGCGUGGGGAGCAAACAGGAUUAGAUACCCUGGUA